rnacentral:tRNA from 1 species
GACGCCUUGCCUGAAUUGGUUAAAGGAGCUGCCUGCAAAGCAGUUUUGUGUGGGUUCGAGUCCUACAGGCGUCUCA